UACGGAGGAUCCGAGCGUUAUCCGGAUUUAUUGGGUUUAAAGGGAGCGUAGAUGGAUGUUUAAGUCAGUUGUGAAAGUUUGCGGCUCAACCGUAAAAUUGCAGUUGAUACUGGAUGUCUUGAGUGCAGUUGAGGCAGGCGGAAUUCGUGGUGUAGCGGUGAAAUGCUUAGAUAUCACGAAGAACUCCGAUUGCGAAGGCAGCCUGCUAAGCUGCAACUGACAUUGAGGCUCGAAAGUGUGGGUAUCAAAC
rnacentral:rRNA from 1 species